rnacentral:rRNA from 1 species
UGGGGAAUAUUGCACAAUGGGGGAAACCCUGAUGCAGCGACGCCGCGUGGAGGAAGGAGGUCUUCGGAUUGUAAACUCCUGUUGUUGGGGAAAAUAAGGAUGGUACCCAACAAGGAAGUGACGGCUAACUACGUGCCAGCAGCCGCGGUAAAACGUAGGUCACAAGCGUUGUCCGGAAUUACUGGGUAUAAAGGGAGCGCAGGCGGGUAUGCAAGUUGGAAGUGAAAUACAUGGGCUCAACCCAUGAACUGCUUUCAAAACUGUGUAUCUUGAGUAGUGCAGAGGUAGGCGGAAUUCCCGGUGUAGCGGUGGAAUGCGUAGAUAUCGGGAGGAACACCAGUGGCGAAGGCGGCCUACUGGGCACCGAACUGACGCUGAGGCUCGAAAGUGUGGGUAGCAAACAGGAUUAGAUACCCUAGU